GAUGAACGCUGGCGGCGUGCCUAACACAUGCAAGUCGAACGGAGCUAUUUUGGAAAGUCCUUCGGGACUGGAAUCUAUAGCCUAGUGGCGGACGGGUGAGUAACGCGUGAGCAAUCUGCCCUUAGGUGGGGGAUAACAGCCGGAAACGGCUGCUAAUACCGCAUAAUGCAGAGAGAUGGCAUCUUCUUUCUGCCAAAGAUUUAUUGCCUUUGGAUGAGCUCGCGUCUGAUUAGCUAGUUGGUGAGGUAACGGCCCACCAAGGCGACGAUCAGUAGCCGGACUGAGAGGUUGACCGGGCCACAUUGGGACUGAGACACGGGCCCAAACUCCUACGGGAGGCAGCAGUGGGGAAUAUUGCACAAUGGGCGAAAGCCUGAUGCAGCAACGCCGCGUGAGUGAAGAAGUAUUUCGGUAUGUAAAGCUCUAUCAGC
rnacentral:rRNA from 1 species